UACGUAGGGUGCGAGCGUUGUCCGGAAUUAUUGGGCGUAAAGGGCUCGUAGGCGGUUUGUCGCGUCGGGAGUGAAAACGCCGUGCUUAACACGGCGCUUGCUUUCGAUACGGGCAGACUAGAGGUAUGCAGGGGAGAACGGAAUUCCUGGUGUAGCGGUGAAAUGCGCAGAUAUCAGGAGGAACACCGGUGGCGAAGGCGGUUCUCUGGGAAUGACCUGACGCUGAGGAGCGAAAGUGUGGGGAGCGAACAGG
rnacentral:rRNA from 1 species